AAUCACAGACCGAUUGAAAAAUUGGCGCGUACUGUUCAUCGAUGGCAAAUCCUUUGGAACCGCAAGUAAAAAUGAUGAAACUUGAGCCGAAUAGGAAGAAAAGGAAACCAUGAAAGUUCGGAAAGUAUAUACGCCCCUAAGAAAGGACCGAUCAAUUUCUGGCAGAAUUCGCAUUGAUAGAGAACUCCGUUGAGGUAUUUAUUUUGGGGAUUUUGGAUUUGUCCACCGCUUUCCAUGCCAAUAUUUGAUCAACAAAAUUCCAAGAAAUGCUCAGCGCGCACAAAGGAAGCGCUCACAAUAUUACUUAAUAAUUAUAACAUGUCGCACGAACUUUAUUACCAUACAAUACCUUAAAACAAGGGUAAGAGUGGAAGAGUAUAAAAAAUUCAUUAGAGUCGUACGGAUUACAUUAGUCGCU